GUGAGUCAUCGAAUCUUUGAACGCAAAUUGCACUCUCUGGUAUUCCGGAGAGUAUGCCUGUUUGAGGGUCAGUUAAAUAAAAAUCGGGGUUGUUGCUGCCUUUCGUGGUGACGCUUCGGAAUUGGGUUGUCUUUACCUUCGGUUAAAGUGACCUAAAAUUUUAUAUGAUUUUUCGAACGUAUUUAAAUUAUUUACGUACGUUUGCAUUGUCGAAUAUUAGGUGUGGUCAUUUUCAUGAUACGCGUCUAUAAUUUUUCAUCUAUUGACCUCAAAUCAGGUAAGAGUACCCGCUGAACUUAA
rnacentral:misc_RNA from 1 species